CCUACGGGAGGCAGCAGUGGGGAAUUUUGGACAAUGGGCGCAAGCCUGAUCCAGCUAUUCCGCGUGUAGGAAGACGGCCUUCGGGUUGUAAACCACUUUUGUAGAGAACGAAAAGUCUAUUGAUAAUACCGAUAGACGAUGACGGUACUCUAAGAAUAAGCACCGGCUAACUACGUGCCAGCAGCCGCGGUAAUACGUAGGGUGCGAGCGUUAAUCGGUAUUACUGGGCGUAAAGGGUGUGCAGGCGGUUUUGCAAGAUGGAUGUGAAAGCCCCGGGCUUAACCUGGGAAAGGCAUACAUUACUGCAAGGCGAGAGUGCGGUAGAGGGGGGUGGAAUGACAGGUGUAGCAGUGAAAUGCGUAGAGAUUUGGAAGAACACCGAUGGCGAAGGCAGCCCCCUGGGACGCUACUGACGCUCAUACACGAAAGCGUGGGGAGCAAACAGGAUUAGAUACCCGAGUAGUC
rnacentral:rRNA from 1 species